rnacentral:rRNA from 1 species
UACGAAGGGGCUAGCGUUGCUCGGAAUCACUGGGCGUAAAGCGCACGUAGGCGGAUUGUUAAGUCAGGGGUGAAAUCCUGGAGCUCAACUCCAGAACUGCCUUUGAUACUGGCGAUCUUGAGUCCGGGAGAGGUGAGUGGAACUGCGAGUGUAGAGGUGAAAUUCGUAGAUAUCGCAAGAACACCAGUGGCGAAGGCGGGUCUCUGGACAGU